UGAUAAAUUUGUACCACUGCAAGCUCAUUGCCAAGCUCGAACAGUUCAUCCCUCGUUUGAUUUCAUUGUCAAUUUUCAGGCAAGGCAAAUGAACAGGAAGUUGAUGAAAGCAAUGAAGACCUUUACUUUAGAAUAUUGAUUCAUUGUUUUUGGACCUUUUAGAUGUUCUGUGAAACUUUUACUUUGGAAACUUUUGUAAACUUACACUAUGUUAACUCUUGAAUUGUCAAACAAUAUUGUAUAUUUUACUUUUACAUGUGAAUAAUACUAAUCGGAUGAUUUGGAUUA